UCCUAGACUGAAUCCUGUACCAUUUGUGCAAAGAUUCAAAUAUCACAGCCUUAGCAGCAGUCUCUGCUCUUCAAUCAUCUUUGUGGUAUGAGCAGCUUUUGCAGCCUAAGUCCAGAGGUGAGGAAAGGACUUGUUGGAAUAAAUCAGUUUUAGGGCACACAAUUAUAACAGAAAGACUUGGAGAGAUUAUCUCAAGAUAACCAAAGAAGAGUUAAAGGAGAAAGGAGGCAGGUGUUCAAGAGCAUUAAUGGGGAAGCACAGCAGGCAGGUGUUCAAGAGCAUUAAUGGGGAAGCACAGCAAAACUUUCUUGAGAUGAAUUAACUGAGCCCGUGAACUGCUGUUUCUCUGCUUCCUUGAAUGUACCAGCAUCUUCUCAGACACUCAGGCCUGCAGCUCUGAAGGUGUGACUCUUUGUUGCCUCUCCCAACCAAUUAAUUGCCAAGUCCUGCUGAUUGGAAUGCAAUAUUUCUCACAUCCUUUCUUCAGUGACCAAAUCUAUAUC